UACGUAGGGGGCAAGCGUUGUCCGGAUUUAUUGGGCGUAAAGAGCUCGUAGGCGGUUCCGUAAGUCGUGAAGUCAAAUCUCUGGGCUCAGCCCAGAAUCGCUUCCGAUACUGCGGUGACUGGAGUCCGGUAGGGGAGUGUGGAAUUCCUGGUGUAGCGGUGAAAUGCGCAGAUAUCAGGAGGAACACCAACAGCGAAGGCAGCACUCUGGGCCGGUACUGACGCUGAGGAGCGAAAGCAUGGGGAGCGAACAGG
rnacentral:rRNA from 1 species